UCCUGAUGGGAACCAAGAGCAUAUGGUGGAUGCCUAGGCUUUAAGAAGCGAUGAAGGACGUGAUAUGGCUGCGAUAAGCUUCGGGGAGGUGCCUAAUAACCUUUGAUCCGAAGAUGUCCGAAUGGGGAAACCUCAUCUUGUAAACCAAGAUGAUAUACGACUUGACUUCGUAUAUGCGUACCCGGGGAAGUGAAACAUCUCAGUACCCGGAGGAAUAGAAAACAAGUCUCGAAUUUAUUCGAGAAUCAUUUCCCCAGUAGCGGCGAGCGAAAAGGAAGAAGCCCAAACCUAGAGCAAGAUGGUUUGUUUGAUAGCAAUAUCGAGCACGCCAUCUUGAUCUGGGGGUUGUAAGAUGGAGACGUCGUUUUACGAGAAGAGUUACAAAAUACAUGUGUAUGUGAAGUAUCUGGAAAGAUACACCGUAGAGGGUGAUGGUCCCGUAACAAAAACAUAUGUGUCUCUUUUGUCUUUAUUCUUGAGUAACACAGGACAUGACUAGCUUGUGUGAAUCCGGCAGCACUAACUGCCAAGGCUAAAUAUUCUUAAAGACCGAUAGUGAACUAGUACCGUGAGGGAAAGGUGAAAAGCAGUCCGGGAGGACAAUGAAAUAGACCUGAAACCAUAUGCUUACAAUGAGUAGGAGCCCGAUCCGCAAGGAUUUAGGGUGACUGCGUGCCUAUUGAAGAAUGAGCCAACGAGUUCAUUCGUAUUGCUUGGCUAAGUGGCUAAAACCCACGCAGCCGUAGGGAAACCAAGUGUUAAUAGCGCGUUUUCUGUAGUACGAAUGAGACCCGAAGCCAAGUGAGCUUGCCAUGAGCAGGUUGAAUUUUUCAGAAAUGAGAAAGGAGGACCGAACCGAUAGACCGUUCAAUAUCUUCGGAUGACUUGUGGUAAGGAGUGAAAAGCUAAUCGAACUUGGUAAUAGCUGGUUCUCUCCGAAAGAGCUUUAGGGCUCGCGUCGCGUGUUCCCAUUGGGGGUAGAGCACUGGAAGGAUUCAACAGGGAGCAAUCUCGUGAAUCCUAUCAAACUCCGAAUACCAAUGACUAAAAACGCGGCAGUUAGACUAUGGGGGCGAAGCUCCAUCAGUCAAAAGGGAAACAGCCCAUGAUCGCAGAUUAAGGUCCCUAAAUUAAUACUAAGUGCACUCAAGGAGGUGGAGUUUCUCAAACAAUGAGGAUGUUGGCUUAGAAGCAGUCAUCAUUUAAAGAAAGCGUAACAGCUCACUCAUCGAGAGACUCUGCGCCGAAGAUAAUCGGGGCUAAGUAUUGUACCGAAGUCGCGGGUUUGAUUUUUCUCCGGAAAAAUUAAGCGGUAGGAGAGUAUUCAUUGCCGCACUGAAGCGUGCGGGUGACCAAUCGUGGAGCGCAAUGAAGUAAGAAUGUUGGCACAAGUAACCACAAGAAGUGUGAAAACCACUUCCGCCGAAAAAUCAAGGUUUCCAACGUAAUAAUAAUUAGCGUUGGGUUAGUCGGUCCUAAGGGGAUGGUGAAAACCGAACUCGAUGGACAGCAGGUUAAUAUUCCUGCACUUUAUAUAUAUGCGAUGGAGGGACGGAGAAUAGUACUCUAUGCAGAUUAAUGGCUUUCUGUAUGCAUGUCGCAUCUUGUAUUCCAGGCAAAUCCGGGAUACUGUCUUUAAUGACAAUGACCAGAUAUGUAUCAAUGAUUCGGUUCGCCGAGUUAGAGAUAGGGGAGCAUUCUUCCGAGAAAAGCUUCUAAGCUAUAGUAUAUAUAAAACCGUACCGCAAACCGACACAGGUGAUUAGGUCGAGUAGACCAAGGCGAACGGGUGAGUGGUCCUCAAGGAACUCGGCAAAAAAGCAGCCGUAACUUCGGGAUAAGGCUUGCCGAUACCACAAAAUGGUACCGGCCGCAGCGAAAGUUUCUCUGGCAACUGUUUAUCAAAAACACAGCUCCCUGCGAACUCGUAAGAGGAUGUAUAGGGGGUGACACCUGACCAAUGCCAGAAGGUCAACUAGUGCUGGUGCGAUUAUAUCAAGCUGGCGCUAUAAGCCCUGGUGAAUGUCGGCCGUAACUAUAACGGUCCUAAGGUAGCGAAGUACCUUGUCGGGUAGGAAACUGCCCAUUCCAAGAGUGAUUUUGGAAUUAAAUCUGGCUAUAACGGUGAAGCCCUUCACAAAAUGCGUGGUAAAGGGUAAUACCGUGGGAAGUCGUCUUGUCGAUAACAAUAUUUAUUGCAGGCAAGAUUGACCCCGUAACGACUUAGGUCAUUUAUGCAUAAAUUUGAUCUAGAUAGACUAUUAAUUUAGUUUAUAAUACGCCGGCUCUCAAUAAAAAACGCAAUAUGCAAAAAGCGUUGAGAUGAAGAUAUAGUCUAUGCCACUAGUAAUAGUGGGUUUCGCCUACAGUGAUGUAGUUAAGCGAAGUAAACACAUGAAGUUCCGACGCGCACGAAUGGUGUAAUGACUGGAGAACUGUCUCGAGGACCAGCCCGGUGAAAAUACAGUAUCGGUGAAGAUGCCGAUUACCUGCAGAUAGACGAAAAGACCCCAGAAGCUUUACUACAGCUUGAUAUUGGGUGUAUGUUUUUAUUACGUAGCAUAGGUGGGAGAGGUUAUGUACAAGAUUUCGGUUUUGUAAUACUCGUCAGUGAAAUACCACUUUCUAAAGAUGUGCAUUCUAAUCUUGACGGCAAAAACGGCAGGAGACAGUAUCUGGCAGGUAGUUUUACUGGGGCGGUAUCCUCCUAAAAGGUAACGGAGGAGUUUAUUAAGGUUAGCUAGGCGCGAAUGGAAACCGUGCCGAUAGUGCAAGGGCAUAAGCUAGCUUAACUGUAAGACGGACAGGUCGAGCAGAUGCGAAAGCAGAACCUAGUGAACCGAUGGUUCUCAUUAGAUGAGGCCGAAGAUUAACGGAUAGAAGCUACUCUGGGGAUAACAGGCUAGUUCCGCCUAAGCGUCCAUAGCGACGGCGGAGUUCGGCACCUCGAUGUCGGCUCAUCUUAUCCUGGGGGUGGAGAAGCUCCCAAGGGUAUGGCUGUUCGCCAUUUAAAAAGAUACGCGAGCUGGGUUCAAACCGUUCAGAAGCAAAAGCUGUAAGCUUUUAGCUGUUUGCUGUUAGAUAAUUCUAAAAGCAAGAAGCAUAAAGCAAAAAGCUGGGCUCUUGAACAGUUUGAACCCACGAGGAAAAACGACAUAUUCACGGCGACACUUGUUAGUAAUAACAAGAUGUGUGAUCAACUUAUAUCGGUGAAGUCCUUGUGGUUUAAACCGCCACAUGAUAGGAUAAUACCGAGGGAAAUAAUAUGAAAUUAUCGUUACAACAAAGAGCAUAUUUAGCCGGAUUUCUUGAUGCUGAUGGAAGUAUUUAUGUGCAAGCAAAGAAAAAUCAAACUUACAAGUUUGGUUAUCAAAUUGCUCCGUAUAUUGUAUUUUAUCAAUCAUCGAAAUCCAAUCUAUUUCAGGAAGUUUACAAACUGAUCGGUUUUGGUCAUGUUCGUAUGCGUAAAGAUGGAGUUACUGAAUAUAUUAUUGGUAAAAAAGAAGAUAUUCUUAAUUUUAUCGAUAUAAUUAGUCCAUAUUUAAUUCUGAAAAAGAAGCAAAUUAUGAUCUUAAAACAAAUUCUUAAACAAAAAGAAUUAGUUAAAAAUGAAGAAGAUUUUGAAACAAUAUUACAACUAUGUAAUUCAUUUCAAGAUUUAAAUUAUUCAAAGAAACGAAAAAUUCGCACAUUAUGCCCGUAGAGACUAAAUGUUGAUUACCCUAAAACAUAAAAAUGUUCGGGUAAAGUUAUAGUCCGAUUCCUUUAGUAAUAAAGGUUUUGUGUACGAACAGAACACAAAUAUAAAACAAGAAUGCGUGAGACAGGUUGGUCUCCUAUCUACUGCAGGCGUUGAUUCAUGAGGAGAGUUGUCUCUAGUACGAGAGGACCGAGAUGAACUAACCUCUGGUGUACCGGCUCUAACGCCAGUUGGACUGCCGGGUAGCUAUGUUGGGCAUAGAUAACUUCUGAAAGCAUCUAAGAAGGAAGCUACCUCCAAGAUUAUGAAUCGUUAUGAGGGACGUAAGAGAUGAUUACGUUGAUAGGUAUUAGGUGUAAGCACAGCAAUGUGUUCAGCCAAGAUAUACUAAUGACCCCAUCUUAUCAGGAAC
rfam:Candidatus Nomurabacteria bacterium RIFCSPLOWO2_01_FTLL_33_17 rifcsplowo2_01_scaffold_25455, whole genome shotgun sequence.